rnacentral:rRNA from 1 species
GAUGAACGCUAGCGGCAGGCCUAACACAUGCAAGUCGAGCGGGAUCCACCUUCGGGUGGUGAGAGCGGCGCACGGGUGCGUAACGCGUAUACAACCUACCUUUUGCUACGGGAUAGCCCAGGGAAACUUGGAUUAACACCGUAUAGUAUACAGAUUCCUCAUGGAGAUUGUAUUAAAGGCUACGGCAAAAGAUGGGUAUG